UAAGGAAUAUUGGUCAAUGGACGAAAGUCUGAACCAGCCAUGCCGCGUGGAGGAUGAAGGUCCUCUGGAUUGUAAACUUCUUUUAUAUGGGACGAAAAAGGGCCUUUCCAGGCCAACUGACGGUACCAUAUGAAUAAGCACCGGCUAACUCCGUG
rnacentral:rRNA from 1 species